rnacentral:rRNA from 1 species
CAUUAGUCUUUUAAUUGAAGGCUGGUAUGAAUGGCAAGACGAGAAAGUAGCUGUCUCUUUUAAAAAAAUUGAAUUUCAUUUUUAAGUGAAAAAGCUUAAAUAUAUUUAAGGGACGAUCAGACCCUAUGGAGCUUAAUCUUAUUAAACAGUUAAAUUUAUAUUUGAAAGUUCACUGUUUAAUAAAAUUUUGUUGGGGCGACAAAGAGAUAAAAAUAACACUCUUUUUAUUAAACACAUAUAGAUGAAGAGAUGAUCCCUAAAGAAGGAUUAAAAGACUAAGUUACCCUAGGGAUAACAGCGUAAUUUUUUUGGAGAGUUCAAAUCGAUAAAAAAGUUUGC